AAUGAACGCUGGCGGCAUGCCUUACACAUGCAAGUCGAACGGCAGCAUGACCUAGCUUCCUAGGUUGUUGGCGAGUGGCGAACGGGUGAGUAAUGCAUCGGAACGUGCCUUUUAGUGGGGGAUAACGUAGCGAAAGUUACGCUAAUACCGCAUAUUCUCUGAGGAGGAAAGCAGGGGACCUUCGGGCCUUGCGCUAGAAGAGCGGCCGAUGUCGGAUUAGCUAGUUGGUGAGGUAAAGGCUCACCAAGGCAACGAUCCGUAGCGGGUCUGAGAGGAUGAUCCGCCACACUGGGACUGAGACACGGCCCAGACUCCUACGGGAGGCAGCAGUGGGGAAUUUUGGACAAUGGGCGCAAGCCUGAUCCAGCCAUGCCGCGUGAGUGAAGAAGGCCUUCGGGUUGUAAAGCUCUUUCGGCUGGGAAGAAAUCGCACCCUCUAAUACAGGGUGUGGAUGACGGUACCAGCAGAAGAAGCACCGGCUAACUACGUG
rnacentral:rRNA from 1 species